GUUUAAUUGCAAACUAUGGCAAAGUUGAGAGCCUAAUUAUUGAUAAUUUCAUUUUGUCCAAUUGUUAAAUGGAAAUAAGACCCAUUUUCUUUCAUUUCCUUGGGUGAAACUGAGAAAAUUGAGAAAGAGGGAGGAAGAAAAAAAUGAAGAAAGAAGAAGAAGAAGUGGGUUUUCAAUUUUGGGGUGCUCCAUUUCUUCAAUUUCUCAUUUGAUUUUGAGAGGUAAGUGUAAGUAUAUUGAGUUAAGUUUUCUUUUAGGGUUUAUGGAAAAUUUGGUCAUAUUUGAAGUUAGCUAGAAUUAGAGGUUAUUGACAUUUAUUUGAGGUAUUAAACAUGAAUAUGUUAAAAAAAUAUAUGUAUUGAAAGAUUGGUGUUGGAAAAAAAAAAUAAAAGAAAGAAAAGAAAAGGAGGGAAACUUUGAAAAUGAGUUUGUGAAAUAGGUGCUUAUUCUUUGAUUUUCUUUGGAUUAUGUAAUGUUAAUCACUUAAAUUAUGGAAUUGGGGUUGAUUUCUCCAUUUUUAAGUAAUAAUUAUAAUCAAUUUUUGGACAAAUCCUACACAGGCGCUGCUUUUGAAAUUCUGCCCAGAAAAGUGCUAGUUUUGUCAAUUUUUUGGUGACAGAAUUCAAUAAAUAGACAUUGGUGCUAGUUUUCAAUAUACUGGAAUUAUAGUGCUAGUUUUGUCAAUCAUCUAAUUUUCUUGGAUUUCUAGUAUUCUAACCCAAUUUAGUGUUAAUUAUUUGGAGUUUUGGUGUUUAAAUAAUUUAUAAAGGAGUAUAUGUUGUUAGUGACUUUAAUUGGGAUUACAAGGUUGAAAAUAAAAUAUAUCAUGUUCCCAUUGGUAAAUUAAUAUUUCAAAUGGUAGGAAAAUACUCAAGGCAUCUUGGUAAGGGAAUAUGAUUUACUAGAGCGAGUGCGUAAUAUCAUACUUGAUAUUUGAAGUUGAAGUGGUGACGAAAAGAUUGAAACCAUGGUCGACUAUUACUUGGCGAGUGGAUAAAACUUAUUUUUCAGAAAUAAGUCUUCUUUAAAUUUUAAAUUUAUUUAUUUUAUAAAGUUGACUUCAUAGCAUGAUUUUCAGAAUAAAAUGGACUUUAUUAUCAAUUGCUUUUAAAGUUAAAUUCAGUUUAGUUAAAUUAUUUUAGUAGCAUGUUAUAUUCAUAUUAUAUGUUUCAGUAUAGUUAAAGUUAUUUCUACAAACCACCAGAAAGUACCCAGGUGAUUUUACCCCAGUUUGCAUUGAUGUGAAUGUAUUUUCAUAGUGUAUGACUAGUUAUAGUGAUUUUACCCGCUCUGCACUAUCGUGAAUGUGUUUCCAUAGUGUAUGACCAGAUUAUCAGAGGUCUUUGGGACCCACUCUCGUACACACAUAGGCUUUGGGCCGUGUACUAGGGUGAUUAGCCUUUGGGGCAGCUCUGCAUACGUAUGACCAGAUUAUCAACUAUCAGAUUAUCAGAUUUGAAUGGCUUGCCUUGUACAUCGAGAUUACUAUGUACAUGUGUAAGGCUAUUCAUUGGGUACUCUUUAUGGUGUGAUUUUACAGUACUUAUUCAGUUCUCAGAUUUCAGAUUAUGGAAUUCAGUUUUCAGAAUAAAGUUUUCAGCUUCUAGUAUUGAGCAGCAGCAAUAUUUCAUAGAUUUUAAUGAAUAUCAGAUUCUUUAUAAUUGUUAUACCUUACAGAUACUUAUCUAGAAUUUAGAACAAAGAAUUUUAUGAUGAAAUUAUGUUUAGUUUUAAAAGUGUUACCAGAUUUCAGAAUUUUCUCAAAGUUUUGAUAGAGCAAGAAUUUUCAGAAUAUAUGCAUAAAAGAAAAAUAUGUUUAUUUGUAAAUUAUCCACUCACUGAGCUUUAAGCUCAUAUAUUUUUUCACCUUUUUCUUUAUCAGACAGAAAACAGACAAAUUGAACAGCUUUGGAGCAUGUCGAACCACCGAAUUGAGCCACGCAUCAUAGGUUGUAUGACAUCUUUUAUCGGAUUAUACAUUGUGUUCUUUUGGGAUACACAUAGGUUAAAUCAGAAAAGUUCAUUAUGGGCUCAUUAGAUAUUUGGUAUCUUUAGUACUUUUUAAGAUUAUUGGUUGUAAAGCAAGUAAAUAUUGAUUUUCUAGCAUUUUAUUUGAAUAGUUUGUAUUUUUAAGGGAUUGGCAUACCCUGAUUUAUAUUAUAGGUAUUGAUUUGAGGAAAAUUGGUUAUUGUUCAGGUGGUUUUAGUUCAUAUUUUAGAGGAAAUUCUGUCAAAAUUCUGUUAAAAAUAUUUUUCAGUCAAGCAAGUCAAAGUUGCAUUGGUGGUGGGUUCGGCAUUUAACUGGCAUCUACCACCGACGCAUGACACAUGUCGAGUCAAUUAGGUUGAGUCGAGACGGGUCGUGUCACCCAUUCUGGUGGAGUAGAGCGUCUAGCGGAGGAAGGGUGGGAGAAGACAGAGAAUAGAGCUGCAACACUGCCUUGGUUGAAUAAUUGUCUUCCCAAAUGACAAAAGCCUCACUCUUGGUGGUGGUGGAGGGAGGCUGAUGGCUCAUGUUCGGAUGGAUAUGGUCGGCGGUCUUGUGAAAAGCCAAAGCAGGGCGAAAGUCUGAAAAGCUACCGACUACGACGUCGGAGCUUUACCUUGGAGUUGCAUUCGGACCUUAAUCAGAUCAGGUGGAUAAGUACUGUAUCCUGCAACACUGGAAGUAAUUCCUCCAAAAAAUCCCUUAAAACCCCGUGUCAAUUCCAAAAAA
rnacentral:lncRNA from 1 species